rnacentral:rRNA from 1 species
GAUCCUGGCUCAGAACGAACGCUGGCGGCAUGCCUAAUACAUGCAAGUCGAACGGAGAUAGCAAUAUCUUAGUGGCGAACGGGUGCGUAACACGUGAGCAACCUGCCUUAUACAUCGGAAUAACAGCUGGAAACGGCUGCUAAUACCGGAUAAGACCACACCAAGGCAUCUUGGAGAGGUCAAAGCGAAUUAGCGGUAUAAGAUGGGCUCGCGUCCAAUUAGCUAGUUGGUGGGGUAACGGCCCACCAAGGCAACGAUUGGUAGCCGACUUGAGAGAGUGAUCGGCCACACUGGAACUGAGACACGGUCCAGACUCCUACGGGAGGCAGCAGUAGGGAAUAUUGGGCAAUGGAGGAAACUCCUUACCCAGCAAUGCCGCGUGAAUGAUGAAGGUCUUAUGGAUUGUAAAGUUCUUUAAUUGGGGACGAAAGAAAUGACGGUACCCAAAGAAUAAGCCCCGGCUAACUAUGUGCCAGCCGCAGC